UUGAAAUGAUGACAUAAUUGAUAUUGAUAUAUCCAUGAAAGAUAAUAUAACGAGCUUUUUAACACUGAAUAUA
rnacentral:snoRNA from 1 species